rnacentral:rRNA from 1 species
GACGAACGCUGGCGGCGUGCUUAACACAUGCAAGUCGAACGGAAAGGCCCUGCUUUUGUGGGGUGCUCGAGUGGCGAACGGGUGAGUAACACGUGAGUAACCUGCCCUUGACUUUGGGAUAACUUCAGGCAACUGGGGCUAAUACCGGAUAGGAGCUCCUGCUGCAUGGUGGGGGUUGGACAGUUUCGGCGGAUGGGGAUGGACUCGCGGCUUAUCAGCUUGUUGGGGGGGUAGUGGCUUACCAAGGCUUUGACGGGUAGCCGGCCUGAGAGGGUGACCGGCCACAUUGGGACUGAGAUAGGGCCCAGACGCCUACGGGAGGCAGCAGGGGGGAAUAUUGCACAAUGGGCGGAAGCCUGAGGCAGCAACGCCGCGUGCGGGAUGACGGCCUUCGGGUUGUAAACCGCUUUCGCCUGUGACGAAGCGUGAGUGACGGUAAUGGGUAAAGAAGCACCGGCUAACUACGUG